CUACGUGCCAGCAGCCGCGGUAAUACGGAAGGUCCUGGCGUUAUCCGGAUUUAUUGGGUUUAAAGGGAGCGCAGGCUGCACUUUAAGCGUGUUGUGAAAUGUACCGGCUCAACCGGUAACGUGCAGCGCGAACUGGGGUGCUUGAGUACGAAGAGGGAAAGCGGAACUCGUGGUGUAGCGGUGAAAUGCUUAGAUAUCACGAGGAACUCCGAUCGCGAAGGCAGCUUUCCGUUUCGGAACUGACGCUGAGGCUCGAAAGUGCGGGUAUCGAACAGGAUUAGAUACCCUGGUAGUCCGCACGGUAAACGAUGGAUGCUCGCUGUUGGAUAUUUUUAUUCAGUGGCUAAGUGAAAACGUUAAGCAUCCCACCUGGGGAGUACGCCGGCAACGGUGAAACUCAAAGGAAUUGACGGGGGCCCGCACAAGCGGAGGAACAUGUGGUUUAAUUCGAUGAUACGCGAGGAACCUUACCCGGGCUUGA
rnacentral:rRNA from 1 species